CCCCAGUCUUCAUACCCUCGGCAUUUGCUCUCUAGGGCACAGUAUUUAUCUUUGGUGAGUAACAGAACAAAGGAACCUGCCUAUGCCCAGAUUGGUCUAGGUGCCCACCAGUCUACCAUGUUUGUCAACAACUGAAUCCUGCCAGGGCUCCUGCCAUUUCUCCUGCCCAAUCUCCUCAUCAGGCUGCCUGCAACUACUUUGGAGCACAGGAUUCCAGGUUUCCAGACCUAGCAGAAGCCUAGCAGUCUGAAGCAGAUAAAAAAUUAGGAUGGACAAUAUGUUGGAAAGACAUUUACAUAAACAGUGAGCAGUAGUGAACAGGAAAAACCAAUCUGAUGAUCCAGUGAGUAACUGCUUAUUUCAAAGACUCAGGGAAUGUCAAGCAAGAAGAAAAAGUACAUUCCAGUCACUAUCCAGCAACCUUGAGUAUGGAUCUGUAAUGGAAUCUAAUGGAUCUGUAUGGUUUUAUGCACAUGUAAAAUAGCAUAAAAAUGGCAGACUAUUGGGACACAAAUAAACAUCCCAUUGCUUUUUAUUGUUGGCCUUUG
rnacentral:lncRNA from 1 species